GCCAGCCCGCUCAGACACUUAAGGAAUUGACGGGGCCGCACAAGCGUGGAGUAUGUGGUUUAAUUCGAUGCAACGCGAAGAACCUUACCUGGUCUUGACAUCCCGGAGACCCUUAGGAAACUAGGGGGUGCUUCCAUCUGGAAGAAUCUGGAGACAGGUGCUGCAUGGCUGUCGUCAGCUCGUGUCGUGAGAUGUUGGGUUAAGUCCCGCAACGAGCGCAACCCUUGCCUUUAGUUGCCAGCAGUUCGGCUGGGCACUCUAAAGGGACUGCCGGUGUUAAACCGGAGGAAGGUGGGGAUGACGUCAAGUCCUCAUGGCCUUUAUGACCAGGGCUACACACGUACUACAAUGGCCGAUACAAAGGGCAGCGACACUGCGAGGUGAAGCCAAUCCCGUAAAAUCGGUCUCAGUCCGGAUUGGAGUCUGCAACUCGACUCCAUGAAGUUGGAAUCGCUAGUAAUCGCAGAUCAGCCAAGCUGCGGUGAAUACGUUCCCGGGCCUU
rnacentral:rRNA from 1 species